UUCCAAACUUGAGCUCCGAGGCAUUCGAAGUGCACCCAGUCGCACUUCGAGAAAUGCGGUGUGCUAAACACACCGUUGGCUCAGAUUCACACAGUAAAUGCGUUUUCCUCGUGAAAAACUUCUCCAUUUUUUUCGCGCUGUUUUCCCUCAUUUCCCACUCACCCGCUUUAUUACUACUCGACUACCCGCGGUGAGUCCUGCCUAUAUUUCUGGGGUAAACUCAAAGGACUUAGAGUAAAACCUCCUACCUUCUGAGCUUCUCGGGAGCUGAUGCCGAUGCAAUAUAUUGGAAUGCUACGUUGUAUCGGGAUGUAUCGCAAACUAAUGUUCUACAGAAGGUAUCGGGAGUCUUAUGCCAGGACGUGGAUGCCGCUAAUCACGACAAAACCUCCUCCAUCAAUACCCCUGACACGUGCGUGAUAGUUUGGGCAGAGCCUGGUUGUAAAGGGAACCACAAGAAGAUACAACCUGGCACUCCACAUCAUGAUGAUUUUGAACAGCUCGGGUUCAACGAUGUCUUGUCAUCCGUCGGGCCUUGUUGAAAAGGGAAAGAAAAUUGUCGUGGAUUUGAUAGCUCGCUGAAAAAAAAAUCAACUCUUUUCAACAAAGACAACUGUUUUCUUUGACAGCAUCCUGUUGCGCUGAAAUAAUGCUCCUUUAUUUCGUCAAAUAUCGCCCGGAGCUUCAAAUAUUUAUUGCCUUUCAAAAGCACGAACUCCAAAAUGUAUGAGACAGCCAAGGAUUAUUUUAAACAUCUUAAAACCAAUCACAAGAAGAGUGGGUACUACACUGAUUAAAAUAUUAUUGUUCUUGUGCUACUUCAGGUUAUUAUAGGAAGUGAAACGCCGUACAAAACAAACUUUGUGUUGAUCGUGUUACAGUUUGCGGUGAAUUUAGCGCAGGAAACAGUGGAAGGGUUGGGUAAAUGUAUUCCUCCGAAUGGAGCAUCGGCAUUCACCACUCGUUUUUUUUAUUUCCGCAAUAAGACUAGUUGGUAUUUUCUCUGGAAAGUGUCAACCGAAGUCUAGGGUUAUUUAGUCUUUUAUUUCCGUAUUAACCAAACUUUUGUGUUGCAAUUUCUCUCCGUGCACAGUUACAACCAAGACCGACAACGCCCAAAAAUAGUGGUAAAAAAAUUAAAAAAUAGAAUAAUAUAACGACGAAUGUCGGAGCAUAGCCCGCUAUUAUUUUUUGAAUCAUUAGCAAUGAUUAAGUGGAAAUUUAUGCUACGGUAAUAAUUGGUAAAAACUAGUGUGAUGUUCUUUUUCUUCAUCGUGCGAAAAAAACAUUCUAUGAAU
rnacentral:lncRNA from 1 species